rnacentral:rRNA from 1 species
AACGAACGCUGGCGGCAGGCUUAACACAUGCAAGUCGAACGGGUGUAGCAAUACAUCAGUGGCAGACGGGUGAGUAACACGUGGGAACCUUCCUAGGGGUACGGAACAACUCAGGGAAACUUGAGCUAAUACCGUAUACGUCCGUAAGGAGAAAGAUUCAUCGCCCCUAGACGGGCCCGCGUCGGAUUAGGUAGUUGGUGGGGUAACGGCCUACCAAGCCUACGAUCCGUAGCUGAUCUGAGAGGAUGAUCAGCCACACUGGGACUGAGACACGGCCCAGACUCCUACGGGAGGCAGCAGUGGGGAAUCUUGGACAAUGGGCGCAAGCCUGAUCCAGCCAUGCCGCGUGAGUG